CAGGUCAGAUGAGCGGUAAAGUGUUGCUAAGCUAGCUAAACGGUUAGCUUAGCACGGAAUCCCGUGACAAUACCCAACAGUAUUUCCCUAACAAUUUCUACUAACACGGUAAUAAAUAUUAUAUAGAUUUUAUAGGCAACAGUUGUCCCUGUCUGUGGUCCCUGCUGGUUUCGUCAGACUGUACCGCUAACUUUUAUCCAGCACGAACCAAAUCAAUCGCAGCCAUCUAGUACCACUUUGCACCCGACUGGAUCACGCCGGUGUUGCGGCGCUUUUUAAUGUGCCGGAUAAUUUGACUCGAUAAGCUCUCCUCCUGCUGAGAGGAGGCCAUGCUGAUAGCCUGGCUCAGAGAAGUGAUGAGGGACAUCAGACCAAUGAGGUAGCCGUCUUCUCGGCUCCCCUCGGCCCACGGGAUGUUGUGUCGGAGCUCAAGCCUGUCAGGCAAAGGGGUCGUCUUCCCAAAGUCUAUCAUCCACACACUGGCCUUGCUGCUGUGGUCGUGGACAAAGAGGAGCGAGCUGCCAAUCACCUGAUUAGGUCUCCUCAGGCCACUCAGCAGAUCCUCCAAGCGGAUGUAGCAGUGCUCCCCUCUUGUGACGCAGCCGUGGUACUGUGGGACGAAGGGCCUCAGCGCAUCUCUCAUCAGGGAGUCCAGACACUUUGCCUCCACUUCACAGUACAGUUUCAACACCUCCCCUC